AUGCGAUUAAUCAGCACACACCCCAGAUGUACUGAUUUUAAAUAGUACCGAAUUUGACCUUUCAUCUUAACCAAUCACAAAAAGCUGUCACCGGAAGCAGACACAGAUAGUCCAGGGAUGCCGCCCUGAUGAUGAUGAUAUGGAUAUGAUAUUACCAACACGCUUGUGAGUAGUCAUGGUCAAUAUUGAAUCAUUGAUUGAUUUCGACAGAGAAGAAAAACUUGAAAUCUUGGAACGGAGGUGUUGUGAUCAAACUUUUCUAUUCGACAACCAAAUAUCUAAACAAUGAUGGAACGGUGACGCCCGACUCAGAUUCAGAUCAAACGGGCUGUGGAAGCCGUGGUAGAAAACCUACCACUAAUAUCAAACUACUCAUCAUAAAAAAUUGUAUGAGUCAAAACCAUGGUAGAAUCGUAACCUAUGCUGAGAUGUAAGACAUAGAAGCGACUGCAAAACUAAUGAGAGUAAAGGAAGCAGAGGAGGAAUAAGCCAUUGAGGCCCGCGGAGAUGGCGCUGGAGUUUCUUCUGGCGUUUCCGCUGGAAUUGGGGAUGAAGGACUGGGAGGAAUGGCUGCAAUGAUAUAACAAACAAUGUUCAUUAGGGAUUGAAAUUUUAAUACAAACCAUUUAUGUUCUCUAUGCAGUGUUUUCUUGUGCAG